CCCUACGGGGUGCAGCAGUCGCGAAACCUUCGCAAUGCGCGCAAGCGUGACGAGGGGACCCCAAGUGCGCAUGUACAACAUGUGCUUUUAACAAGCCUAAAAAGCUUGAGGAAUAAGAGCUGGGUAAGACUGGUGCCAGCCUCCGCGGUAACACCAGCAGCUCAAGUGGUGAUCGCGUUUAUUGGGUUUAAAGCGUGCGUAGUCGGUUCGACAAGUUUUCUGUGAAAUCCUGGCGCUCAACGUCGGGGAUUGCAGAAAAUACUAUCGGGCUCGAGACCGGGUUAGGAGUGAGGUAUUCUGGGGGUAGCGGUGAAAUGCUAUAAUCCCUGGAAGACCACCAGUAGCGAAAGCGUCACUCUGGAACGGGUCUGACGAUGAGGUACGAGAGCUAGGGGAGCGAACAGGAUUAGAUACCCUGGUAGUCCUAGCUGUAGACGAUGUGGGUUUAGUGUUCCUCAAAUCUCGUGUUCGAGGAGUGCUGAAGGGAAACCGUUAAACCCACCACCUGGGGAGUACGGUCGCAAGGCUGAAACUUAAAGGAAUUGGCGGGGGAGCAC
rnacentral:rRNA from 1 species